CAGCGAUUUCAGCGCUCUGGCAUCGGCUGCUUCUUCUCUCCUUAGGACUCGAGAUUUUUCCCGCACUUCACUUCCCCUUCUCUUCCCAUUCUUCUCUUCGUUUCCAUCUUUGAGCGAAGAUUCUUGGGCUUUUUUCGCUAGAUAUUUAUUGCGAUCUCUACUAAAUCAACUUCCAAUAUAGGAAAAACCGGUGAAGGAUCGAAGACUGAGGUUUAUACAAUUAGGAAGAAUCUAGUAUUUUAUUCCUCUUCCUAUUUUGCUUAUUUUCUUUCUGCUCCUUUUUUUUAAGUCUUCGUCUUCCUCUUUAAGCCUCUUGCAUUCUUGUUUCUUCAGAGUUCUUUCUUCAUACACCAUAAAUUGAGCUUGCUUUGUCGAAAGGGUUUUGUUCAAAUCCUGCGAGGUGCAAUAUUUUUUCAAUUCAAUUUUUCCUUUUACGCCUUUUAGGCAGGUUUAUGAAUCAGCUUUCUCUUUCGUUAUCUCCGAGUAUUAGUCUUAUUCGUCUUCUUCUUCUUCUUCACGGCUCUUUGCCUUUUUCUUUUCUGUGUUAUCUUUUUUUCUCUUUCUUUUGAUGAGAAUAAAGAAUCAGGGAAGUUAAGAAAACACUUCCACAAGAGGAGAUGAUGGACCACAGUAUCCUAUGUCCUAUGAAAUAUACAGAACACAGAAUAGUUACUAAGAAAUUCACAAAACCCUCCUUAAAGUCCAAAAAGGUCUCUGAUGAAAGGAGUAGAUUAGAGCACAACCCACCAAGACUUGUACGGAUAUCAGUCACAGACCCAGACGCUACCGACUCCUCCAGCGACGAAGAAGGUGAGUUCUUUGCCCGCAAACGAGUGAAGCGGAAUGUGAACGAGAUUAGCAUCGAAGCUAGCUGCAAAGACACUGCUGCUGCCGUUUCCAAUGGGCGAAAAAGACCUGCUAGUGUGCUUCCAGCAUCCCACCGGCCAAUCAAACUCAAUACAGCAAAUACCAAUGGCAGAAAGUUCCGUGGAGUCCGACAACGGCCGUGGGGUAAAUGGGCUGCUGAGAUUCGAGAUCCUGCGAGGCGUGUGCGGCUAUGGCUAGGCACCUAUAACACUGCUGAAGAAGCUGCUAUGGUUUAUGACAAUGCUGCAAUCAAGCUUCGAGGACCUGAUGCUUUAACCAACUUCAUUACGCCUCCAGGCAGAGAAAAACAACAGGAAAAAGCUGAAGCAGAACAAGUAGAAGACAAGCCAAAAAUUAAUGUGACCUCAGCUUCUAGCAAUGAGUCUGGCGAUGAGUCUCACAAUCUCUCAUCUCCAACUUCUGUGCUGAACUUCAGAGCUCACUGCAGUGAAGAAUCUGAACUGCAAAAGCUGGUUGUACCGGUAGAAAAAUCAAACAUAAAAAGUGAAACGGUUAAAGAAGAGUGUGAACAGAAAACAAACGUAUCCGAUGAAUCAGCAGAGUAUCUAUUACCGCUGGACUUGCCAUUCUUGGACGAUUUCUUCAAUUUUUCAAGCACAGGACCUUCACUCUUCGAUGACGCGAUAACAACAAAAACAAACACCGUUUCAAGUGAAGAUUUCAGCGACAUAUCCCUGGACACACCCCAAGAAUUCGGAUCAUCUUCAUCAUCAUCCAUGUGCCAAGACGGCGACUUUUCCCAAGACAUCGGAGAUUUCUUUUUCUCGGAACCACUAGUUGCUCUUUCAAAUGUCUAGUAGUGACCAGUGGCCGCCGUUUUGCUUGCCGAUUUCACGGCAAAUUUUGUACUGGUGGCAAUUUUUUUACCUCUAGUUUUUUUGUUGUUAACAUAAUAUUAGUAUAUAUUUAUUUGUUAAGAAUAUAUCCGUUCUAAAGACUGGACGGAUAAUCGAGUGAGCUUUGCUAAGAUUUUGUAUUGUACUUGAUAUCAUCUAAUAAUAACAAUAAUAAUUAGUGAUGCUAAUGAGAGCGUAUAAUUUGCAAUUAUUUUUG
rnacentral:misc_RNA from 1 species